CAGGCGGUGAAACGCAAGAUUCAGGCCCUGCCGCAGCAGGCGGACAAGGCGAAGACUGCGCGCAGGGCCUGCAGCGGCAGCUGGACUGGGGGCGCGAGCGGGGGGCGCGAGCGAGCGGCGCGAGAAAGCUGAAGGCGAUGUGGCUGUCCUCGACUGACGCAUCCAGCUCUUUUUUUUUUUUUUUUUCUUUUUUUAUUAUUAUUAUUAUACUUUAAGUUUUAGGGUACAUGUGCAUCCAGCUCUUUAAGGAGGAGUUGGACGGGGCUCGGGAACGACUGGUCACGGCCCUGCAGAAGCUAGAGGAGGGGGGAAAAGGCUGCAGAUGAGCGUGAGAGAGAAUGAAGGUGAUAGAAAACCGGGCUAUGAGGGAUGAGGAGAAGAUGGAUUCGGGAGAUGCAGCUCAAAGAGGCCAAGCACACUGCGGCCGGAGGCUGACCGCAAAUAAGAGGAGGUAGCUCGGAAACUGGCCAUCACAGAGGGCGAACUGGCCAGAGCAGAGGAGCGUGCAGAGGUGUCUGAACUAAAAUGUGGUGACCUGGCAGAAGAACUCAAGAAUGUCACUAACAAUCUGAAACCGCCGGAGGCUGCAUUGGAAAGUAUUCUGACAAGGAGGACAAAUACGAAGAAAAAAUUAAACUUCUGUCUGACAACUGAAGGAGGCUGAGAUCCGUGCUGAAUUUGUAGAGAUAAUGGUUGCAAAACUGGAAAAGACAACUGAUGACCUGGAAGAGAAAUUUGCCCAGGCCAAAGAAGAGAGCGCGGGCUUAUAUCAGACACUGGAUCAGGCACUAAAUGAACUUGACUGUA
rnacentral:lncRNA from 1 species